AUAGCUGUGAUGAAAUUGCUAUAACGUAAGAAGAGUCAUCAUGAUCAAGUUGACUUUUCAAUGAAAUAUAUUACGCUUGGCUUCUGAGCUUU
rnacentral:snoRNA from 1 species